UCUAACUUUAUCAAAAUAUUCUAUGAAAAAAAAAGAUGGGCCCUAACAGAAGAGGGGAGGUCUUGGGGUAACCUGUGUGAACAGGUUGUCUUCCUCUGAAACCUUGGGACUAUUCUUCACUGAGCUGUUGGAAGAAAGGUUGAACUCAAGGUAGGUUGAAUUAGGCAAACAUAUUAUUAUGCCUCUCCUUUGCCAGAGUCCAAACUGGCCUCAUUUUAUUUGAUAUUAAAGAUAACCACUAUUAUUCUCAGGCAUGAAAUUAAUUGCAAAGAAAUAUUGGUCAUAUGCCAGGCAGAGAGUCCAGGUUCGCCCCCCUGGAGCCUGGGAUAAGCAUUUCGUGUCCUCUGCUGACCUUGUAUGUGCUUCUGUGGGGAAAUUAGAGAUGCAUUAAGUGGCUGCACACAGCAGAAUAAUUGCCAUGGCAACCAAAGGCCCAUCACCUGAGCUUUCUUCCAAACUGAUUUGUCAAGAGCGAAUUGCAGAUGGUCUCACAAAAUGGAAGAUGGGAAAAAAAUUCACAUUCUCUCUCUCUCUCUUUCCUCCUUUCUCGUGUUUUGAUAUCUGGGUUCUAAAAGUGGCUCACUCAUGUCUCCUUUUUCUAAAAUUAUUCUAAAUAUGUUUUUUUUUCCUUCUCAGAGUUGCUGUCUGACUCAUGGAUCCUGUGCUUGAUGAGGCUGGCAGAAUGACGAUGCGCCCUUGAUGAGGCCAUUCUGGGACAGAAACAUCUCUGCUCUGUUCAAGGGGAUUCAUGACCUUGUCACUUCACUGUCUCAAAUGAACUAUCCCCAAGAUAAAAAAGUUGUCACGUCAGGCUGUUUCUGGACUCGGGGUUGUGGGAACAAAUAAAUGAUGACUUUCUGUCCACGUCUUUAUAGAG